CUAUAAUGCAGUCGAGCGGACAGAUGGGAGCUUGCUCCCUGAUGUUAGCGGCGGACGGGUGAGUAACACGUGGGUAACCUGCCUGUAAGACUGGGAUAACUCCGGGAAACCGGGGCUAAUACCGGAUGCUUGUUUGAACCGCAUGGUUCAAACAUAAAAGGUGGCUUCGGCUACCACUUACAGAUGGACCCGCGGCGCAUUAGCUAGUUGGUGAGGUAAUGGCUCACCAAGGCAACGAUGCGUAGCCGACCUGAGAGGGUGAUCGGCCACACUGGGACUGAGACACGGCCCAGACUCCUACGGGAGGCAGCAGUAGGGAAUCUUCCGCAAUGGACGAAAGUCUGACGGAGCAACGCCGCGUGAGUGAUGAAGGUUUUCGGAUCGUAAAGCUCUGUUGUUAGGGAAGAACAAGUGCCGUUCAAAUAGGGCGGCACCUUGACGGUACCUAACCAGAAAGCCACGGCUAACUACGUGCCAGCAGCCGCGGUAAUACGUAGGUGGCAAGCGUUGUCCGGAAUUAUUGGGCGUAAAGGGCUCGCAGGCGGUUUCUUAAGUCUGAUGUGAAAGCCCCCGGCUCAACCGGGGAGGGUCAUUGGAAACUGGGGAACUUGAGUGCAGAAGAGGAGAGUGGAAUUCCACGUGUAGCGGUGAAAUGCGUAGAGAUGUGGAGGAACACCAGUGGCGAAGGCGACUCUCUGGUCUGUAACUGACGCUGAGGAGCGAAAGCGUGGGGAGCGAACAGGAUUAGAUACCCUGGUAGUCCACGCCGUAAACGAUGAGUGCUAAGUGUUAGGGGGUUUCCGCCCCUUAGUGCUGCAGCUA
rnacentral:rRNA from 1 species